GGGGGUCUGCAACGACCUCCUUCCCCUUUCUUUCCUCGCCGGCGCCGACCUGCAGUAACAACAGAAAACCCAACAAAGCAGUCGAUUUUAAUUUUUGUUCUUUGUUUUCAAUUUAUUUCUCUUCCUCUUCGUUUCGGGUCUGCUUCCCUCCGCCGAUCUGUUCUUGUUUCUUCUUCUUCUCCGGUGGCUGAUCGUCGUGGACGAGGAGACGAUCUGGUGAUGGGGAGGGCUGGAUGUUGGAGGAGGAUGGCGCUGCUGCCCGGGGAGCAGAUCUGCCCUCCUUUGGUCUUGGCGAGCUGGCGGCUGGAGAAGGGAGCAGCUGAGAGGGGAAGAUGCCCACGAUCGGGCUGGCUGCUAGGUCUUCGACGAGGACGGCUGGUUCGGGUGAAGGCUGAGCUGGGUUUGUCCGUGGUCGUUGAAGCCGCGGUGGAGACGGGCGAAGGAGAAGAAACCCACGGGUCCAAACUGGGGGAACAACAGUCGUCUUCAACAGGAAAAGGGAAGCUUCGGCUGAGGGAAGAUCGGUGCUGUGGGCGUUGUUGCUGCUGACGGAGGCGAGCUUGUCCGGUGUUGGAGGAAAGGAUGGCAGUGGGAUCGCCGGAGGGGAAGGAAGAAGAAAAA
rnacentral:lncRNA from 1 species